rnacentral:rRNA from 1 species
GAUGAACGCUGGCGGCGUGCCUAAUACAUGCAAGUCGAGCGAACGGACGAGAAGCUUGCUUCUCUGAUGUUAGCGGCGGACGGGUGAGUAACACGUGGAUAACCUACCUAUAAGACUGGGAUAACUUCGGGAAACCGUAGCUAAUACCGGAUAAUAUUUUGAACCGCAUGGUUCAAAAGUGAAAGACGGUCUUGCUGUCACUUAUAGAUGGAUCCGCGCUGCAUUAGCUAGUUGGUAAGGUAACGGCUUACCAAGGCAACGAUGCAUAGCCGACCUGAGAGGGUGAUCGGCCACACUGGAACUGAGACACGGUCCAGACUCCUACGGGAGGCAGCAGUAGGGAAUCUUCCGCAAUGGGCGAAAGCCUGACGGAGCAACGCCGCGUGAGUGAUGAAGGUCUUCGGAUCGUAAAACUCUGUUAUUAGGGAAGAACAUAUGUGUAAGUAACUGUGCACAUCUUGACGGUACCUAAUCAGAAAGCCACGGCUAACUACGUGCCAACAGCCGCGGUAAUACGUAGGUGGCAAGCGUUAUCCGGAAUUAUUGGGCGUAAAGCGCGCGUAGGCGGUUUUUUAAGUCUGAUGUGAAAGCCCACGGCUCAACCGUGGAGGGUCAUUGGAAACUGGAAAACUUGAGUGCAGAAGAGGAAAGUGGAAUUCCAUGUGUAGCGGUGAAAUGCGCAGAGAUAUGGAGGAACACCAGUGGCGAAGGCGACUUUCUGGUCUGUAACUGACGCUGAUGUGCGAAAGCGUGGGGAUCAAACAGGAUUAGAUACCCUGGUAGUCCACGCCGUAAACGAUGGGUGCUAAGUGUUAGGGGGUUUCCGCCCCUUAGUGCUGCAGCUAACGCAUUAAGCACUCCGCCUGGGGAGUACGACCGCAAGGUUGAAACUCAAAGGAAUUGACGGGGACCCGCACAAGCGGUGGAGCAUGUGGUUUAAUUCGAAGCAACGCGAAGAACCUUACCAAAUCUUGACAUCCUUUGACAACUCUAGAGAUAGAGCCUUCCCCUUCGGGGGACAAAGUGACAGGUGGUGCAUGGUUGUCGUCAGCUCGUGUCGUGAGAUGUUGGGUUAAGUCCCGCAACGAGCGCAACCCUUAAGCUUAGUUGCCAUCAUUAAGUUGGGCACUCUAAGUUGACUGCCGGUGACAAACCGGAGGAAGGUGGGGAUGACGUCAAAUCAUCAUGCCCCUUAUGAUUUGGGCUACACACGUGCUACAAUGGACAAUACAAAGGGCAGCGAAACCGCGAGGUCAAGCAAAUCCCAUAAAGUUGUUCUCAGUUCGGAUUGUAGUCUGCAACUCGACUACAUGAAGCUGGAAUCGCUAGUAAUCGUAGAUCAGCAUGCUACGGUGAAUACGUUCCCGGGUCU